rnacentral:rRNA from 1 species
GUGAGGAAUAUUGCGCAAUGGAGGCAACUCUGACGCAGCCAUGCCGCGUGCAGGAAGAAGGCGCUACGCGUUGUAAACUGCUUUUAACCGGGAAGAAACCCCAGGACGUGUCCUGGGUUGACGGUACCGGAGGAAUAAGCACCGGCUAACUUCGUGCCAGCAGCCGCGGUAAUACGAAGGGUGCAAGCGUUAUCCGGAUUCAUUGGGUUUAAAGGGUGCGUAGGCGGAGCGUUAAGUCAGUGGUGAAAUCCUGCAGCUUAACUGUAGACUUGCCAUGGAUACUGGCGCUCUUGAGUGCGCUGGAAGUGGGCGGAAUGUGCCGUGUAGCGGUGAAAUGCUUAGAUAUGGCACAGAACACCAAUUGCGAAGGCAGCUCACUAAGGCGAUACUGACGCUGAGGCACGAAAGCGUGGGGAUCGAACAGGAUUAGAUACCCUUGUAGUCC